rnacentral:rRNA from 1 species
UAACGCGUGGGAAUCUGCCCUUGGGUACGGAAUAACAGUUAGAAAUGACUGCUAAUACCGUAUGAUGUCUUCGGACCAAAGAUUUAUCGCCCAGGGAUGAGCCCGCGUAGGAUUAGCUAGUUGGUGGGGUAAUGGCCUACCAAGGCGACGAUCCUUAGCUGGUCUGAGAGGAUGAUCAGCCACACUGGGACUGAGACACGGCCCAGACUCCUACGGGAGGCAGCAGUGGGGUUUUUGGACAAUGGGCGAAAGCCUGAUCCAGCAAUGCCGCGUGAAGUGAUGAAGGCCUUAGGGUUGU